rnacentral:rRNA from 1 species
GGUUGUCGUCAGCUCGUGUCGUGAGAUGUUGGGUUAAGUCCCGCAACGAGCGCAACCCUCGACCUUUAGUUGCCAGCAUUCAGUUGGGCACUCUAAGGUGACUGCCGGCUAAAGUCGGAGAAGUGGGGAUGACGUCAAAUCAUCAUGCCCCUUAUGACCUGGGCUACACACGUGCUACAAUGGGCGGUACAAAGGGUCGCGAACCCGCGAGGGGGGAGCCAAUCCCAAAAAGCCGCUCUCAGUUCGGAUUGCAGGCUGCAACUCGCCUGCAUGAAGCCGGAAUCGCUAGUAAUCGCGGAUCAGCAUGCCGCGGUGAAUACGUUCCCGGGCCUU